rnacentral:rRNA from 1 species
AUGUGGAAGCAAUCCAAACGCACACCGCACAAAAUUCAAACUCAGAGACAAAUGAGUGUGGCAGGUAUAGCAUUAGCAGCCCUGCUGCAGCUUCUGGCCACCAUGUUGGUGCUAGUGUCGGCCGACGUAGCGUUGCCCAACUGCAGCAACAGAUGCGGCAACAUAGCCGUGCCUUACCCAUUCGGCGUCGGUGCCGGGUGCCACCAUGAGGGCUUCGAGCUUACCUGCAACGACACGUACCAUCCACCAAAGCUCUUCAUGAACAGCUCCGGAUUCGAAGUGCUUGAAAUUUUAAGACAUUAA